rnacentral:tRNA from 1 species
GGCUAGUGUGGUAUUGUGGUUUGAGUGCUGGACUAGGACUCUGGGAGACCAGGGUUCAAAUCUCUGCUCAGCCA